rnacentral:rRNA from 1 species
GACGAACGCUGGCGGCGUGCUUAACACAUGCAAGUCGAACGAUGAAGCCGGAGCUUGCUCUGGUGAAUUAGUGGCGAACGGGUGAGUAACACGUGAGUAACCUGCCCUUGACUCUGGGAUAACUGCUAGAAAUGGUAGCUAAUACCGGAUACGACCCUCGGAGGCAUCUCCAGGGGGUGGAAAGAAUUUCUGUCAAGGAUGGACUCGCGGCCUAUCAGCUAGUUGGUGAGGUAACGGCUCACCAAGGCGACGACGGGUAGCCGGCCUGAGAGGGUGACCGGCCACACUGGGACUGAGACACGGCCCAGACUCCUACGGGAGGCAGCAGUGGGGAAUAUUGCACAAUGGGCGCAAGCCUGAUGCAGCAACGCCGCGUGAGUGAAGAAGGCCUUCGGGUUGUAAAGCUCUUUUGUCAGGGAAGAAACACCGGCUCUAACACAGUCCGGGAAUGACGGUACCUGAAGAAUAAGCACCGGCUAAC